rnacentral:tRNA from 1 species
CAGCGCCCGGGCGGGGGCGACGCCCAUCGCGCUGAGGGCGCGGUUGAGGCAGUACGGGUCGGGCUUGAGGAGGUUCAGGUCCCGGGUGCGGCC